rnacentral:rRNA from 1 species
UACGGAGGGUGCAAACGUUGCUCGGAAUCAUUGGGCGUAAAGCGCACGUAGGUGGCCUGUUAAGUCGGAUGUGAAAGCCCCGGGCUCAACCCGGGAAGUGCAUACGAAACUGGCGGGCUUGAGUAUGGAAGAGGGUCGCGGAAUUCCCGGUGUAGAGGUGAAAUUCGUAGAUAUCGGGAGGAACACCAGUGGCGAAGGCGGCGACCUGGGCCAAUACUGACACUGAGGUGCGAAAGCGUGGGGAGCGAACAGG